rnacentral:rRNA from 1 species
ACCCUCCUGGUUGGCGGCGUGCUUACACAUGCAGUCGAACGAUGAAGCCGGAGCUUGCUCUGGUGGAUUAGUGGCGAACGGGUGAGUAACACGUGAGUAACCUGCCCUUGACUCUGGAAUAAGCGUUGGAAACGACGUCUAAUACCGGAUACGAGCUUCAGCCGCAUGGCUAGGAGCUGGAAAGAAUUUCGGUCAAGGAUGGACUCGCGGCCUAUCAGGUAGUUGGUGAGGUAAUAGCUCACCAAGCCUACGACGGGUAGCCGGCCUGAGAGGGUGACCGGCCACACUGGAACUGAGACACGGUCCAGACUCCUACGGGAGGCAGCAGUGGGGAAUAUUGCACAAUGGGCGCAAGCCUGAUGCAGCAACGCCGCGUGAGGGACGACGGCCUUCGGGUUGUAAACCUCUUUUAGUAGGGAAGAAGCGAAAGUGACGGUACCUGCAGAAAAAGCACCGGCUAACUACGUGCCAGCAGCCGCGGUAAUACGUAGGGUGCAAGCGUUAUCCGGAAUUAUUGGGCGUAAAGAGCUCGUAGGCGGUUUGUCGCGUCUGCUGUGAAAACUGGGGGCUCAACCCCCAGCCUGCAGUGGGUACGGGCAGACUAGAGUGCGGUAGGGGAGAUUGGAAUUCCUGGUGUAGCGGUGGAAUGCGCAGAUAUCAGGAGGAACACCAAUGGCGAAGGCAGAUCUCUGGGCCGUUACUGACGCUGAGGAGCGAAAGCAUGGGGAGCGAACAGGAUCAGAUACCCCUGGUAGUCCAUGCCGUAAAACGUUGGGAACUAGAUGUAGCGGCCAUUCCACGGGUUCUGUGUUCGCAACUAACGCAUUAACUUCCCUCCCCUGGGGAGU